GCCUGGCUGCUCUCCUUGUGCCAAGGGCGAACCACGCUCUCUGACGCUCACAUUUACCACAGCAAACUUUUAGAUAUGGGCAUCAGAGGAGAGAGAACAAACCAAAAGAUCUCACAUGGGAUCGCGGAAGAAAAACCUCUGAACCGGUUGCAACUUGAAGCCUUUUCCUUUCAUUAAAUAGUAACAAGAUUUUCUACACAGUAGAAACUCACAGCUUGAGCUGCACAUCCCCACUGAACCAGCUAGCUGGAGAACAUCUGGAUCCUGAGAUGACAACAAAAGAAGGGAAAUUGUAAAACUGCACGCCUAUACUAAGAAUGCAAGGAUUUACUCUUGCUAGGAAUAUUCAGAAUGCAACAAAGGAAAACUAUGGACAAUCAGAAUCUUCUACGGAUGGAAUUAAGAGAACCAGAUGGCCAAAUAUCUAUGGAGUAUUCAGAUCUAUUACACUGAUGCAGAAACAUUAGAGAGGAAGAAAUCCUACACGUCUUGAGAGUAAGUAGCCUGUACAGACCACAUAAUAACAAAUGACAUCAUUAUGCACUGCCUUGAAGAAAAUGGCCUUUUGACUUUCAACAGUUUAUGUGCUCCGUGGAAUGUCAAGCUCUUCACAUUUUCUUUUCUGUUAAAAAAAAAAUCCUGAAGCACUACUCCCUCUGAUUAAGCACUAAGAUUGUGCAGUGAAAAACCUCUACUCGCAAUAAACAAUCAUUUGGCAACCUCAGUGAUCACAGGAUUUGAAAAUCCUGGUAUUACAAAACACUAGUUUACUAUUUAAGGGCGAGUGAAAAAUGAAAAGCACAGCUCUGAAUUCCAGCCUGAAAAAGCCAACACGCCCACCGCAGCAUCACUGAUGCACACAGAGAAAAACAUCCCAACCACAGGGAAACAUUAUCGCCGGCUUAACGAUCUCCAGCAAAGAAAACUUCCUGGACCAAUUGUGUCAGCAUCCUCUCCUGAUGGAAGAAGCUUCACCGCGAGCUGAUGGCACAAAGAGUGAGCCUACAGCCCUUGUUCAGUUUGAAACCCAGCCCAGGUCCUCACGCUGCAGAACUGAGGAGGACGAUGCAGUGCCGAGGGCCCUGGGGUAAGACCUGGGAGAUGCAGACUCAGCACCCUACUGAGAGUCCAGCUCUGGGGUUGAUUUUGCCAUCCAAGAGAUGGAGAUACCCCCACGUCCCCACUGAGGCGCUCAGGCAGGUAUCCGCGUGCCUCACGCAGCCUCCCGAGGCAGUCCCUGGAAAGUGAAGCUUGAGCUGCUGUACUCUGCUCUACAAGAAACACGUCCCUGGAACUGGAAGAUGAAAGAAGCGACAAACUUCAAGUUUAACACACACAAUUGAAAUUCUGCCUAAAAUUCCACUUGAAAAAUCUCUGUUUCGGGCACAUUCCAAAAAUAACAAUAGCAGCUCUAUUUCAAUGUUAUGGCUGUAAUCACCUUAACUCUGCAGUACCACCAUGUUUCUGAAAUACAGUCAAAGACCAUCAGAAAGGAGAAUAGUUUUGAGAUGAAAUCUGAUGUUCUGUUUUCUCAGCCUGCAAAUAAAUGUGAUGAGCGCUGACAUGAAAAGCAUUUCAACUGUGCAAACACUGUUUUGUUCUAUAAACACUAAUAGGAAAGCACCUACCAACACAGCCACAACUUGGGCUAGCUGAUUAAAAACUAUUUUAAGCAGCGUCCCUAUACAUUGUGUUAAAAAUAAUUUAAUGUUCUGUUUUAUAACAGGGAACUGAAAAACAAGCUGACAACCAAAGAACCGUAGUGAAACACAGGCUCUGGUUUUAAAGGACAUUCACGUUGUAGAGGAUCAUGAGAAGAUUUUUCCUUUUUCCCCCACAAAUUUUAAUACGAACACGUUCUCUAACAACAUCCCUAGAAAGUAUCUGCUGGAGGAUUUCCCUCCUGCUCACCCACUAACUGUCCAGCCCCCACAAAACUGAACAAAUUGCACGUGCCAGCCCAACUAAUUCAAGCUCACAAAUCGCUACCCCAUCACUGACAGACAUGUACCUACACAGUGUUCUCCCACACAGGUUUUACUGGUUUAUGUUUAGAUAUUGAUAUUUAGAUAUCAAUCAGUGUGAAAAGAGCACAAAGGCUAAAUAAAUUAGACAACUUAUAUUUGUUUCAUCACCUUUUUACUUGCCUGAAGAGUGUAAAGUGGCCUUUAUGUGUAUGAAAAUCCACAUCUGGGACUUGUGCUUUUUAUAGUACCGAUGUGAGAACCCUGUGUCAUAAUCCCAGUGUUGCCUGCAGUGGUGUAGUCCUCAAAAGAGGUGUUAAUGCCACAAGAGUUUUAGUCACCUGAGACCUCAUCCCAUGAGAUGCUGGAUCCAACUCAGAGCCCUUAGGAGCUCCACUAUGAACACUCCUUGCCACGGGACUGGGCCUUAAACUAAGCUCCAGACACAAUGCAGUCCAAAGAUGUCUUCAAAUGUGGUCCUUCUGCUUUCUGGGGUUGGUGGGUUUUUUUUGCAUUUUCUUUACAGUUUGUGUGUCUUUGUUCAAUUCACUGAGUUGGGGUUUAUAGCAAAAAAAAAAAAAAAAGAAAAAAAAAGAAAAAAACAACCAACAACUGCUCUCAGUCAUGAAACUAACUUGUGAUUAACUGGCAGGAACAUCACAAUUACAGCCAGGAAGAAAAAAGCACCGCUUAGAACUUGGUAUAUUUUUAUCUACACAUAUGUGAUUACAAGUGACUUCUUUGACACCAGAUAUGCCAUGCAUUCUGUGCACAUCGCUGCAGCUUUAACCAUGAACUUCUCUCUCCUUAACCCUUUCAAACACGAGCAAACUGUUACACUCACAAAACCAAAAUCCAGAAAUCAACCUCCUUGCGGUUUCCUGAACUAAAUCACAGCAUCUUGUCCCACGCAGGGGAAACGUCAGUGUUUGUGUACCUGUGAACUGCUUUUUACGCUUCUGCAGUUAUCUCAAGCACCUGGAACACCAUCCUGCCAGGGGCAGGAUCAGAAUCAGCAAAGCCUCUGUUUUUUUGGAAGCAGUUCUGACUUACCAUUAUGCUAAAGCACCAUCACCCUUGUUAGCGAGGCCUGGUACAAGCCAGCAUGUCAGCUUUGGUGCCUCCUGCUAGGAGGAGGAGAAGCCCUUCACGAGCAGACGGAACAUCCAACACACUGAAUAUACUUCAAGUAGACCUGUACUAAAAAAGAACUUUUAAGGAGAAGCCCUAAGUGAUAGCUCUGUGCCUGGAUCCUGGGCACAGCACCGGUCGCUGCCACAUCACCUUGCAAGCUGGAGAAGACAGUCCAGAUGUCUCCAGCAAAUACGUAGUCUAAGGAUCAUUUUCUGCUAGGAAAUAGUUAGACUAACAACACAUUUCCGUUAAAACACUGUGCAGCAAUAAAAAGGGUUCUGACACCAGGCUUGGAUUUCACUUCAGUGUAAAUCGAUAAUGUGCAUAAUUUCAGAGAUGUGACAGAAUUUUAACAAAGAGUUUUGUCCUUUAGUUACGAUCAGUGAAGGUCAAACACGAACAUGCAGUUUGGACUGAGAGGCUCUGAGCACUGGGAACACAUCCUGCAUGGGUGUAACUCAGGUCAAUGACCAGGGAAAUCAAGCUGGUCAGGACUAGCUGAGAACGCAGCCGUGGUCCGGGCCUCCCUGUAUGAAGGAUAAAUGUGAGCGCCAGGUUGGGCAGACAGGCAGACAGCUGCUAAGAGCUCUGCAGAUAAUCCUCUGGCAGCGUCACCCACAUAAGGCAGGUACUGACGGAAUCUGACUGAUAGUACUCCCGGAGCUCUGACACUGUAAUGCAGCUAAAAUCCAGGGAAUACGUUUUUAAAGUAGCACAGAUGAUUGUCCAUUUAUUACAGAGGAGAAGGCCGAUAACACACUUCACGAGUCACUAACACGGUGGAAUUCAUUUAUUGCCUCUUAUUCUCAGAGCACACCGGAGCAGGAAUUACAAAUACUACCAGAGCGAUACCAACUUGCUAAGCAUUGCUCUAUCUCCUUACAUUUUUAACUCCUAAAAUUUGCCCAAAGAACCAUCUCUCCUGGUCACUUCUCAGAACAGCCUGUAACACAGCACGAGGCGGAGGCCGUGCAGCCGACACAAGCUGCGUUCUGCUGCACCGUGCCUUUUCAGCACAGCACUUUGAACUCAAACCUGCAAAGAGACAGCUCUGAAGCGUGUUUCAGUGAGCAGCUCCCAAGGCUGCAGCCCCAGACUGCCGCUGACACUCUGACCUGCAAUGCUUCACUCCCACCAUUGUUCCGGGUGUGAGCAGACGCCCUCCCCGCCACGCACGCUCACUCACACGCGCUGCGCGUUACAUCAUGCGCUUUGCUGCUAAUAGUAAAGCCGGCAGAAAGGAAUUUUAUUUUUACACUUUCACACCACCCACUCCUAAUUACUGUCAAUCAGUGUCUCCCGCAUAGUACACACUGCAAAUGUGCACGGCCUUAUUUGUGCUGGGGUUUUCAGCAAAAAUUUCCACCGUUGCUAAAAACUGACCGGGCCCCCUGACUGCCGAUGGACACGGGCAGGAGCAGCCUGCAGGUACGCUGCUUUCCCUGCGAGCCAUCACAACUCUCUGGCUUCAGGGCGUUUCUAUCCAUGUACUUAUGCUUCUUCUCUACCAAGACACAAGUGGGAACACAUCUGUAGCUGCACUCCUAAGCUGUCCCGAUAACUGCCACGGCAGCAGAAACCGGAGGGUAAUUCUGCCCCCAAACCCAAGGCAGACGGACUCGGUUUCCCAGCACACAUGCCCGCACACCACUCAUUUCUUUUUAUAGCCUGCUUUUCCUUCUGAUGCAAAAGUAAAUCCAGCUCAGAUGAUUUCCCUGCCUUAACUUUUGUACAAGAGGAAGACAGAAAGCUAAAAAAAGAAAAUUAGACACUUCAUGAAAUCCGUGAUUAAGACACAGAAACUAACAAGACAGAUGGGCUGAAACAUUCAGGGAGCUUCAGUUCAUCAGCCCAUGUUUUUCAAAGUAAGCUAUUGUAUUCCUCAUUUAGACUUCUUAAAUCCUGUUUCUCCAUCCAAUAACUUGGCGCCAUUUCUGAACUUGGCGUCCCCUUGCUGAGUAUUCCAAAAUAAACCCCAAAAACUCACUAUGUUUUUUCUCCUCUCCCUUCCUUUGCCUCCCUGUCAAGUGCAGAUAUAUACCAUUGCUGGAGUGCCCUGUCACACAGCCCUCAAAUCUCACCUGGCUGCACGCAUUUGCCCUGUGAGGCUUGUUAACCAGUAGGGACAGGUGAACACGGUAUCAUAGCUACACAAGCUGACCGGUGCUCCCCAGUGCAUCCUGCAAGGCAACACUUCACAGUUCCCAGGUGAAGGGAGGGUUACCCUCCAAGCCACACCUUGCUUUGCUCCUGCAUGGAGGAACCACUGCCGGCAUCAGAGAGGGUACUGCUGCGUAGCAGAAUGAGGAAGACAGCUCCACAGAAAUGCUAUCUGUAGGGCUAAAGAGGAGAAGUCAGUACUGUGCACACUGGGAGAAAGGAAGAACUGCUCCUAGCAAGGGGCUCCCCAGCAUCCAGAAUGAGGGCCCAGGCCGGUCCCCAGGGCAGCCCUUUUGCCACUGGGAAUCAGUUCCUCUUUUCUGCAGGGUGCACAAAGCAGCUACUCACCCUGGGGGAAAAAAAAA